UCCGGUUUGUCACCGGCAGUCCCAUUAGAGUGCCCAACUGAAUGUAGCAACUAAUGGCAAGGGUUGCGCUCGUUGCGGGACUUAACCCAACAUCUCACGACACGAGCUGACGACAGCCAUGCAGCACCUGUGUUGCGGUUCCCUUUCGGGCACUCCCAAAUCUCUCCGGGAUUCCUGACAUAUCAAGGGUAGGUAAGGUUUUUCGCGUUGCAUCGAAUUAAUCCACAUCAUCCACCGCUUGUGCGGGUCCCCGUCAAUUCCUUUGAGUUUCGACCUUGCGGCCGUACUCCCCAGGCGGACGACUUAACGCGUUAGCUACGACACCGAAAGGCAGACCCCUCCGACAUCCAGUCGUCAUCGUUUAGGGCGUGGACUAC
rnacentral:misc_RNA from 1 species